GAGUCAGCAAAGUUGGUCAUGCUUCCGUAUGUACUGGCUUUACUGGUUCCUCCUUCUUGAAGAACUGUGAUGUCAUUUACUUGGUGUUGCAGGGAAACAGGACUGUUACUUUGAAAAAAUUAGAGUGUUUAAAGCAGGCUAACGCUUGAAUACAUUAGCAUGGAAUAAUGAAAUAGGACGUUUGAUCCUAUUUUGUUGGUUUCUAGGAUUGACGUA
rnacentral:rRNA from 1 species